rnacentral:misc_RNA from 1 species
AACUUUCAACAACGGAUCACUUGGUUCUCGCAACGAUGAAGAACGCAGCGAAAUGCGAUAAGUAGUGUGAAUUGCAGAAUUCCGUGAAUCAUCGAAUCUUUGAACGCACAUUGCGCUUUUCGGAACCCCGGAGAGCAUGCCUGUAUGAGAAUCAUCCCACACCCCACACUCACCAGUGAGUGGAGUUGAGCCGCUAUCCGUCGUCUGACUUUGUCGGAUGAGGGAUUGGCUUGAAAAAGGAUGUUGGUUUGAGGCCUCCCGGUCCUCGAGCUCUUGUUGCGAGACAAAUUUGUUUUGAGCGCGCAAGUAUGGAGCCCGAGGAGUCGCAGGACUCGCGAUACCAACGUUGAACCAGCGUUCAACGGCACAGAGAGGCGGACUUUGUUCCCCUCUCUCAGUCUUUGAUCUCAUAUCAGGUAGGAGGACCCGCUGAACUUAAGCAUAUCAAUAAGCGGAGGCU